rnacentral:rRNA from 1 species
AUGGCCGUCGCCGCCGCCACGACGUCGUCGUGGCUUCUCUGGAGACCCUUCUCUUCCACUAUCCUCACACGGUGCACUAACCCUAGGUUCCUCCGUACUACCCUAUGCUUCUCGCACUCUGCCUCCGCCCCCGCCCUCGGCGCCGCCUCUCUUCAGCCAACCCCGCCUCCUCCUCCUCCUACAACCUGCUCCAGCGAUGGAGGUGGCGGGAUGAGGUGGGAGUCUACGCGCAAGAAGAGAGUCGUGCUCCGCGUCGGCUACGUCGGCAGCGAGUACCGAGGUCUUCAGAAGCAGCGAGAUCUCAGCGCGGACUCAACCAUUGAGUCAGUUUUGGAAUCUGCCAUCUUCAAGGCAGGGGGCAUUCUUGAGAGUAAUUAUGGAAAGUUGCAAAAAGUUGGUUGGGAAAGGAGCAGCCGAACUGAUAAAGGGGUACAUUCACUGGCUACAAUGAUCUCUCUUAAGAUGGAAAUCCCUGAUCGAGCAUGGGAGAAGGAUCCUGAUGGCAUUGCUCUUGCGAACUUUAUUAACUCAAAUUUACCAGAUAAUAUCAAAGUUUUCAGUAUCUUGCCUGCUCAAAGGAGUUUUGAUGUAAGAAGGGAAUGCUUGUACCGGGAGUACUUCUAUCUUCUGCCUGCUGAAAUAAUUGGAAUUAAAAGCAGUUGUAGCUCUGGAGAAGUGGAGGAGCACUUAAUUGAAUUCAAUAACAUACUGAAAGGUUUUGAGGGAAACCACCCAUUUCAUAAUUACACUGCUCGUGCGAAGUAUAGAAAAGUUCUAGCUGGAGCACACCGAAGGGCCAAAGAAACAAGCACAACAGCGCAUUCCAUCCCCUUCGAAAUGGUUGCGGACCAAAGCACUUCUGGAGAUGGAACCACUUCUGAUAUAGAUGAGGAAUACUUAAACUCUCCAUCAAUACUUGAUUCUAGUGCACCAGAAGACAAUUGUAAGAUGGAUAAUCCUGAACUUCCUGAGAGUCGUGUGCAAAUUCAAGCUAGAUGGCUCCAUGAGCCUAAUGACAAUGACAGACUAAGUGCAUCACACUUCAGAGAUAUCCUCACCUGCUCAUGUGGAGAGUUGCGGAGUUCAUCAGGAGUUCAAUUUGUGGAACUGACGAUAUGUGGAGUAUCUUUUAUGCUACAUCAGAUCCGGAAAAUGGUUGGUACCGCGGUGGCAGUGAAGCGUGGAUUACUACCCAAAGAUAUUAUACAACUUUCGCUUGCAAAGUUUUCUCGCGUCGUUUUACCAAUCGCCCCAUCUGAAGUUCUGAUCCUUAGAGAUAACAGUUUCUGCACGAGGAACAAGCAAGGGAGUAUUGUUCGGCCUGGCAUCCAGUCAAUUAAUGAAUCUGAAGAAAUCAAGAAGGGUGUAAUGGAAUUCUACAAGGCGGCUCUUGUGCCUGAGCUAGCAAAAUUCCUGGAUGCAUCCCUGCCUCCGUGGCAAGAAUGGGUGGAGAACUUGGACCACUUCACCAGCAUACCAGAUCCUCAGCUGGAUGAAGUUAGGACAGCUUAUAGAGCAUGGAAAGACGAUUACGACCGGGUAAAAAUGGCUCGAAAGAAUACUGGCAGUGGCUAA